rnacentral:rRNA from 1 species
AAAACGACUCUCGGCAACGGAUAUCUCGGCUCUCGCAUCGAUGAAGAACGUAGCGAACUGCGAUACUUGGUGUGAAUUGCAGAAUCCCGUGAACCAUCGAGUCUUUGAACGCAAGUUGCGCCCGAAGCCAUUGGGCCGAGGGCACGUCUGCCUGGGCGUCACGC